AAAAGUUCUCUAAGGUACUGGAAUUCUUUCUGGUUAGAUUAUUGUAGUCAAAAGAUUGUUUUGCAUAUAGAAUAAGUUGGUACACUGUCUAUGCCAUUUCCUGGUAAGAUGUUCAUUGUCCUAUAAAGUAAUUGAUGUUAGCGAUGCCUCUCUCAUAUUUAUUAAGAUUCUUAUUAGAGUAUUUCCAGUUGUGAUCAGUCUUUUAAAGAA
rnacentral:misc_RNA from 1 species